CGCGAAUGGUGUAUACCUACGUGCUCGUCAAAACGACGGUAACCUCAGUUUCGCAUAGUCCGUCGUCGCGUUCGCGUCUCUUCCUGUCUUUUCUUCUAUUAUGUGUGAGAGAAAUUUGUUUUUUUAUUUCAGGAAGAAAGUUAUGAAUUCAUAAUUCAAAGAGAAAUAAAAGAAAUAUUUAGAAUCAGCUAAAUUUUCAGAAAGAAUUUUGUUAAUUUUGAUUAUUUAUUAUUUUUAGUCGUUGUUUUUAUGCAUGAAAAGAAUCAACGAACGGGUUCGGAAUUUCGUAAAAAUUGUUGAAGUGUACGUGGUGGACAAGUAGAGAAAGUUUGAUUUGUUGUUAAAUUAUGAGGAGUCAUCGGCGAACAAGUAUUUGAUAACACACACAUAUAUAUACACGCACAUACACACAUGUAUAGCUUUUAAAGUUAAUUAAAUAAGAUUAAAAAUUCUGACAUUUCAAUCUUGGGCAAGUCCAACGAUAGAUAUAAAAAUUCGAAGUAAAAUAUAUUUACGGACGAUAGCGUCGUCUUUGUACUUAAAUACGAAAAGAAUACCUAGGACGGUCUUUAAUGUUCAAUUGAACGAAUUAUCACGAAGUAACGGUGUACGUGCUUAAUUCAAUUUAUAUACUCGAUCCGAACUUCGUUAAUGAGACUAUCGAAAGUAAUCUGGUCGUGAACGGUAGUGCAUCUCGUGAAUCUAGUGAAAAGAGACAAUUUCGUAGAAAAUAAAGUGCUCGGUAAAUUUAACAUCUUCGAAAACGUUGAAAGAGGUGACUUCGACCUCAAGAAAAUCGAGGAAAGAUUCUGUUUACGGAUGAUCGCCGAAGAACGUGGCAAAACUUUUUUACGUUCCAAAAUCAUCACAAAAUUGACAUGCUGUCUGACGACAUCGAAAAAAGA